AUGCAACUGAUGAGUCCCAAAUAGGAUGAAACACGCAUCCUGCAU
rnacentral:hammerhead_ribozyme from 1 species